GGGAUUAUGGUGUAAUGGCAGCACAGCAGUCUGUGGCACUGCUAGCUCGGGUUCAACUCCCGAUAAUCCCC
rnacentral:tRNA from 1 species